ACGGAAGGCAGCAGUGGGGAAUAUUGGGCAAUGGAGGCAACUCUGACCCAGCAACGCCGCGUGAGUGAUGAAGGUCUUCGGAUUGUAAAACUCUUUAAGUGGGGACGAAGAAAGUGACUGUACCCACAGAAUAAGCCUCGGCUAACUACGUGCCAGCAGCCGCGGUAAUACGUAGGAGGCAAGCGUUAUCCGGAAUGACUGGGCGUAAAGGGUGCGUAGGUGGUCUGACAAGUUGGUAGCGUAAUCCCGGGGCUCAACUUCGGUGCUACUACCAAAACUGUUGGACUUGAGUGCAGGAGGGGCAUAUGGAAUUCCUAGUGUAGCGGUGGAAUGCGUAGAUAUUAGGAGGAACACCAGUGGCGAAGGCGAGAUGCUGGACUGUAACUGACACUGAGGCACGAAAGCGUGGGGAGCAAACAGGAUUAGAUACCCUGAUA
rnacentral:rRNA from 1 species